UUGAAAUUUUCAUUGUACCAUUUAAUAGUGAAUUGUGGUCAGUUCACUCAUUGAGGUUAGUUGUUAUGGCCGAUAACGAAAAAACCAACGCUACCACACAAGCGGCGCCAUCGGUGAAGCCUCGUGUUGAUGAAGUCUCCCCCUAUAACCCAGCUAUCGACGGAAGGAACGAUUGUAUUGUUAAAGAUGAGCUGUCUAGACGAUUCCGGCAUAAAGAAAAGCCAAGGUCCAGAAGGCACCCAAGGCAGAAACAUCGGUGCAGGAGCCGGUAUCGAAGUCGCGAUCGCCAGCAGAAAAGAGGCAGUCGAAAGUCGGACUCGACAACGUCAAGCGUAACGAGCACGACAUCAGCGCAGUCAGCACUUUUUACUGAUACUGCCACAACCGGAGCUACGACUGACGCCACAACCACGGCCAUGACUACCAUUAGGUCGGACAUGAAAAACAAUGAUCGCAGAUGUGUAACCGCUGACCCUAACAGGUCCGGAGCGAACGUCACAGUGACCAUCGUAAACGAAAAAGACCCAGAUGACAAGAAUGAUUGCAAUAUCUCGUAGUUUGUCCGAGGGAAAACUGUUCGGCUGUAGGCUGUGUAGGCGGACUCGAUACGACGUCGUAUUGGGCCGAUUGCUUGGCGUGACGACUGCGCGAGUGUUGCAAGUGAGUUCAAUGCGCGGCUGCAGUAUCCGUCGAAAGCAUGGCCUUAGAAUGAAUUCGCGAAAAUUGUAGACGAAAAAUCGUGGAUUGAAACCGAAAUGUUGGAUUGCGCUGGGGUACAUGGACUCAAACAGAUCAAGGUAAAAAAAGCCAAGACAUGACGCUUAAUCUAUAAAGCUAACUGUGACAGUAACAGCGGCAAAGACAAGCAUAGUGCCACAACAUCUGUCUGUCCGAGGCAACGAUGCAUAAUGCCGAUAGGCAAGAUCGGCACAAAAUCGAGGCGCUCUCUUAUAAAAUCAAAAUAAAAGCUUGUUAUAACAAGUAAGAUGUUAAACGUAAAUCACGCUUUAGAAACAAUCAUUGACUGAUCUGCUUCUGUCUCAAUAGGAAGGAAUAAGGUAAAAAGAUGGAUACGUAAAAUGAAAACAAUAUUAACAAACAUUAACUCAUUAUACUUCGGGAGAUCGGUUGACGCCGAAACAAUAUUAACUUAAUUCCCUGAUUGUAAAAUAUCAGCACUAUAUUAUAUAGUGCUUUAUUAUUAACUUUAUUAAAAGUUAAGUCAAAACGCUAUGCUUUAUUAAUACGGCAUACAAUAAAAUAGUAUUGCAUCUGGAAGGUAUCAUCUGAAACUAACGUGCGAAAUCACCUGCUCUUCUGUUGAAGCAUUAUAACGGUAUCUUAAGGGUCAUAGUCUAGGUUGAUACCAUGCGAUUUCCUCAUGGGUCUCAUCGUACCGUGCUGAUCACACAUUAAUGGCUUCCCUAACCGCAAGUCCUGUCCUAAGCAAUCUGUGGGCAAAAUUUGUCGCUGUCAGCCAGCAAAUGCGGUUUUCCAGGCUACUCGCAACCACCGUGACUCCAACGUGAAGCAGCCUGAAGAAGCUUUGCCUCAUCUCACUUGGGCGGGACCCAGUGUCGUCAACAACGGCGCUAUGUGUGUUGCUUGCGUUAUGGGACGUGGCGAACCGAGAUCUGUGAUCGAUCUCUGGCUGUCAAUCUCCUCCACCAGCCUUCAGCAUGAAAACUGCCCAAACUUCUAGCCGAUACUGUUUAUGGCCUUCCCACCUCAAAGUCAGUUCGCCUCAGGUUGCUGGCUGACAGGUUUCCUUUCGCAUGCUACACGGCGAAAAAGAAAAAGAAGUCUAGACUAAAAGCCAGCAUCUGAUCCUGCCCAGAGGCUAGUCGUUCGUUGUUUUGCGACUGCGAAGCCCACCAAGGGACUCGCUCCUCCUGAAGGCAGGGCCUGUAUGAGAAAGACUUCUGCAGGAUUUCUUGUGGGGCGGCUAAAGAGCAGCACUGGGCACCCAAUCGGGUACGUACGGUCCGAUCUAAACUGUACAGCCUACUACCGUAAGCUCUUGCUCAGUCUUGCUUCCAAGGCUCUAGAUGCCUUAGGCUGGUGCAUGUGUCGGAAACGGGGGUGAAGCGAGAGAGACGGCUGAGCGCCACUGUGUCUAGAGAGAGUACGGUAACACAGCAAAGUGCGAAAGAGAAGGCUAACGGAACGAUGAGAGCAAGACGUUUAAAUCAAUCUCCUAGGGGAUCAGCGGAUAGCCCAAGGAGUCGAGCAAGGGGAACGGCCCAGCCAAGCCACCCGUCCUGGAUCCCUAGGACGACGAGCUAAAGCCAUCAGACUGAACCGGCUUACAGGACUGAAGCGAGAGCAGAGCUAAGGAAACCUAGGGUGCGGCAAGUGGCCGAUGCCGAAGGCGGGCAGUACCCUCCGGGACCGGCUGCUAUAAGUUGGUGACGGGAUAGCUACCGGCGAAGAGCCUAAGGAAAGGAUGAACGACGACCAGGCUGGCUAAGUUGCUAAGGAGCUUCACGGAUUACCCGAGAUAUACACCGUGACGCAGAUAUGGCCAGGGGCAAAACAUUGCGGCAAAGACCAAACGGCUUCUGGGUCCGCCACCUCUUCCUUACUAGCAAGUGUCUCCUGCUGAAUUCAGUCCGUCGCUUUUUCCGUCCCCUUGGCUCCAACGUCCGGUCGUGAUCUGCCGACUUAGCAAUUCUUUCGAAGGCCAAAUGUGAAUGCGAUUAUUAGCGGAUCUGUCACUCGCUUACGCCCGAUCGAGAAACACCUCUUUGUGACAUCGCAAUGAUGUAUAAAUACGGUUGCAUCGUGAGGCAAAGCGUUAGACGUUCGCCGUACGCCAUUGCCGCUGUUGUUUCUGCUGGCUUUCCUCCGCUAGCCGGCUGUCUGGUUGCUCCGCUCGAUGCUGGUCGUCUCCCCGGGGGCUCACACGAAGGGGUGCUUCCUCUUCGCCGUCUUAUUUCACUGCGCCUGCUCUAGAGUUCUCCUGCUCUUCCGUUUAGUCGGUCAUCAAAAUAAUGGUGUCUCGGUACACUGCAGGGCGACAGGAAAAUACAUCGAACGCAGAGCAAAGAAUGACGACGAGGGUUCCUUACAGACAGAGGCGACGGUACGUAAGAGACGGGGACAUGCUGGAGCGACGGCGGCGGCGGCGACGGGCGCACAACUUCAGCGAACGCAUGCUUUACAUCCAAACGAAGGCUCACACCCAAGUAAAGGAGAGCGGGACGACAAGAAGGACGGACUACAGCAGUCCGCUCUCAACAGAAUGACUUCUGAGAUGAGAAGACCGGCAGAAAGGCUGUACCGGGCUACCGCCGACGCUCCCAGUGCAGGAUAACCCGCUUCCUGUUUUUCCCAACCACGAAGAUAGAUGCGGCACUAGCAACGUUAGGGAAGAAGUAAAGGCCCGUUUUCAUGGACGUAUAUACAGAGUGGAUAUCGAAUCAGUUUUUUGGAGUUUAUCCUGGAGCAGUGAGGCUUAAUGGAAAGACACAAUAUGAAGACAUAAUUUGUCGGUAAGCUUAAG